GAUGAACGCUGGCGGCGUGCUUAACACAUGCAAGUCGAACGAUGAAGCCCAGCUUGCUGGGUGGAUUAGUGGCGAACGGGUGAGUAACACGUGAGUAACCUGCCCUUAACUCUGGGAUAAGCCUGGGAAACUGGGUCUAAUACCGGAUAGGAGCGUCCACCGCAUGGUGGGUGUUGGAAAGAUUUAUCGGUUUUGGAUGGACUCGCGGCCUAUCAGCUUGUUGGUGAGGUAAUGGCUCACCAAGGCGACGACGGGUAGCCGGCCUGAGAGGGUGACCGGCCACACUGGGACUGAGACACGGCCCAGACUCCUACGGGAGGCAGCAGUUGGGAAUAUUGCACAAUGGGCGCAAGCCUGAUGCAGCGACGCCGCGUGAGGGAUGACGGCCUUCGGGUUGUAAACCUCUUUCAGUAGGGAAGAAGCGAAAGUGACGGUACCUGCAGAAGAAGCACCGGCUAACUACGUG
rnacentral:rRNA from 1 species